AUUGAACGCUGGCGGCAGGCCUAACAAAUGCAAGUCGAGCGGAGCGGCGGACGGGCGAGUAAUGCAUAGGAAUCUGCCUGGUAGUGGGGGAUAACGUCCGGAAACGGGCGCUAAUACCGCAUACUCUCAGCUGAGCCUAGGUCGGAUUAGCUAGGUGGUGGGGUAAAAGCCUACAAAGGCAACGAUCCGUAACUGGUCUGCGAGGAUGACCAGUCAAACGGGAACUUGUAAACGGUCCAGACUCCUACGGAAGGCAGCAGUGGGGAAUAUUGUACAAUGGGCGAAAUCCUGAUCCAGCCAUGCCGCGUGUGUGAAGAAGGUCUUCGGAUGGUAAAGCACUUUAAUUUGGGAGGCGUUACCAACAUAAUAAGCACCUGCUAACUUCGUGCCAGCAGCCGCGGUAAUAC
rnacentral:rRNA from 1 species